rnacentral:misc_RNA from 1 species
AACGCACAUUGCGCCCGCCAGUAUUCUGGCGGGCAUGCCUGUCUGAGCGUCAUUUCAACCCUCAUGCCCCUAGGGCGUGGUGUUGGGGAUCGGCCAAGGCCCGCAAGGGACGGCCGGCCCCUAAAUCUAGUGGCGGACCCGUCGUGGCCUCCCCUGCGAAGUAGUGAUAUUCCGCAUCGGACAGCGACGAGCCCCAGCCGUUAAACCCCCCAAAUCUUACAAGGUUGACCUCAGAUCAGGUAGGAAUACCCGCUGAACUUAA